rnacentral:rRNA from 1 species
UACGGGAGGGGCUAGCGUUAUUCAUCAUAAGCGGGCGUAAAGGGUGAGUAGACGAUGACUAUUGGCUAAACUUAAAAAACAAACAUUUAUUUGUUUCAGUUUACCCAACAAUCAAUUAGCGAUUAAAGGAGUAGAUAGAAUUACUAAUGUAAAGGUAAAAUAUGAUGAAUAUUAGUACGUAUGCCAACGGCGAAGGCAGUCUACGAUGUAGUCGGACGUGAGGUGCGAAAGCAUGGGAAUCAAAACGGG